rnacentral:miRNA from 1 species
UUGGAGGUUUGGGUUUU